rnacentral:rRNA from 3 species
UACGUAGGUGACAAGCGUUAUCCGGAAUUAUUGGGCGUAAAGCGCCCGCAGGCGGCUGUUCAAGUCUGACGUGAAAUCGCUCGGCUUAACUGGGCGGGGUCGUUGGAAACUGAAUAGCUUGAGGCAAGGAGAGGGGCGUGGAAUUCCCGGUGUAGUGGUGGAAUGCGUAGAUAUCGGGAGGAACAUCAGUGGCGCAAGCGGCGCCCUGGCCUUAGCCUGACGCUCAGGGGCGAAAGCGUGGGGAGCGAACGGG